GGACCCGCACAAGCAGCGGAGCAUGUGGUUUAAUUCGAAGCAACGCGAAGAACCUUACCAGGGCUUGACAUGCCUCUGACGUUACUAGAGAUAGUAAUUUAUCCUUCGGGAUACAGAGGACACAGGUGGUGCAUGGUUGUCGUCAGCUCGUGUCGUGAGAUGUUGGGUUAAGUCCCGCAACGAGCGCAACCCUUGUAUUUAGUUGCCAGCAUUAAGUUGGGCACUCUAGAUAGACUGCCGUGGACAACACGGAGGAAGGUGGGGAUGACGUCAAAUCAUCAUGCCCUUUAUGUCCUGGGCUACACACGUGCUACAAUGGUCGGUACAACGAGCAGCAAGCUAGCGAUAGCAAGCGAAUCUCUAAAAGCCGAUCCCAGUUCGGAUUGUAGGCUGCAACUCGCCUACAUGAAGUCGGAGUUGCUAGUAAUCGCGAAUCAGCAUGUCGCGGUGAAUGCGUUCCCGGGUCUU
rnacentral:rRNA from 1 species